GACAGAGGCCUCGAGCGUUAGGCGGAAUCACUGGGCUUAAAGCGUGUGUAGGCGGGCCCGUAAGUACCUUGUGAAAUCCCACGGCUCAACCGUGGAACGGCUGGGUAUACUGCGGGUCUUGGGCCAACUAGGGGCAGCCGGAACAAGCGGUGGAGCGGUGAAAUGCGUAGAUAUCUGGAGGAACACCGGUGGCGAAGGCGGCAUCCUGGACCAACACUGACGCUGAUGAGCGAAAGCCAGGGGAGCAAACGGG
rnacentral:rRNA from 1 species